AUUAAAAAGAAAGGGAGAGAAAACAAAGACAGUGUACGGACAAUCGCUAGAAACAUUGUACAAAGCAACGGGGAUGUACAUUCCUUAUUUGCUUGCCAAUUCUGUUCGUGCUUUGCUUUUUCAUGGUGGUUUGUUUGUUUCUGGCAUCUUUAGAAUAUCU
rnacentral:ribozyme from 13 species